rnacentral:rRNA from 1 species
AGCGUAGACGGUGUGGCAAGUCUGGUGUGAAAGGCAUGGGCUCAACCUGUGGACUGCAUUGGAAACUGUCAUACUUGAGUGCCGGAGGGGUAAGCGGAAUUCCUAGUGUAGCGGUGAAAUGCGUAGAUAUUAGGAGGAACACCAGUGGCGAAGGCGGCUUACUGGACGGUAACUGACGUUGGGGCUCGAAAGCGUGGGGAGCAAACA